rnacentral:rRNA from 1 species
UACAGAGACUGCAAGCGUUAUUCGGAUUCACUGGGCGUAAAGGGUGCGCAGGCGGUUGGGUGUGUCAGACGUGAAAUCCCGAGGCUUAACCUCGGAACUGCGUCUGAAACUACUCGACUAGAGUACUGGAGAGGGUAACGGAAUUCACGGUGUAGCAGUGAAAUGCGUAGAUAUCGUGAGGAACACCAGAGGCGAAGGCGGUUACCUGGACAGUUACUGACGCUCAGGCACGAAAGCAUGGGGAGCAAAAGGG